rnacentral:misc_RNA from 1 species
UUUCCGUAGGUGAACCUGCGGAAGGAUCAUUAUUGAAUUCCAAACGGAUGAGAUUGCUGCUGGCUUUUGGGCAUGUGCGCAUCUCAUUCAUUCUUAUCUCACCUCUGUGCACUUUUCACAGGAAUGGCUUGUGGCUGAUGGCUGCAGGUUGUUUCUGUGUGCUUUACAAACCCUCAUAUUGUUUAGAAUGUAUAUCGUGUAUUUACACAAUUUAAUACAACUUUCAGCAACGGAUCUCUUGGCUCUCGCAUCGAUGAAGAACGCAGC